rnacentral:rRNA from 1 species
AGAGUUUGAUCCUGGCUCAGAUUGAACGCUGGCGGCAUGCCUUACACAUGCAAGUCGAACGGCAGCGCGGGGCAACCUGGCGGCGAGUGGCGAACGGGUGAGUAAUAUAUCGGAACGUGCCCUGGAGUGGGGGAUAACGCAGCGAAAGUUGCGCUAAUACCGCAUACGAUCUAAGGAUGAAAGCAGGGGACCGCAAGGCCUUGUGCUCCUGGAGCGGCCGAUAUCUGAUUAGCUAGUUGGUGGGGUAAAGGCCUACCAAGGCAUCGAUCAGUAGCUGGUCUGAGAGGACGACCAGCCACACUGGAACUGAGACACGGUCCAGACUCCUACGGGAGGCAGCAGUGGGGAAUUUUGGACAAUGGG